AAAUAUAACAUUAUUAAGCUAAAUGCCAUGUUAUUUAAUUUUUGUUAUGACUUUUGAUGGGAUGAGAAUUGUUACUAACUACAUUUUUGUAACUAUUUUGAAAGUCAAACAAACCUUAAUAAUUUCUCCACUAAAUCCUCUUACUAGCCAGCCAAAAGCAGCUAACAGUAGCAUCUACAGCCUCAGCAACUGCAGUCACUCCGAACAAAGAAAUAUCUGUAUUUAUCCAGCAAAAGAUGGAAUUUUAGUACUUUCUUUCUCACAUGGAAACAAAGUAAUUUGCUGCAAAAGAUGAAUGUAAUUGUCAUUUUGGAGAUGAGUCUAUUUCUCUUUUCUCUCUCAGAUAUUGAUGAAUUUUAUAUAAAGUUUGUCUACCG
rnacentral:lncRNA from 1 species